UACGAAGGUGGCAAGCGUUACUCGGAAUUACUAGGCGUAAAGGGCAGGUAGGUGGUCUGAUAAGUCUGUUGUGUAAGCUCCCGGCUUAACUGGGAGAGGUCAACAGAUACUAUUAGGCUUGAGUAUAGGAGAGGGUACUGGAAUUCCCGGUGUAGCGGUGAAAUGCGCAGAGAUCGGGAGGAACACCAAUGGCGAAAGCAGGUACCUGGACUAUUACUGACACUAAGCUGCGAAAGCUAGGGGAGCAAACAGG
rnacentral:rRNA from 1 species